rnacentral:tRNA from 1 species
GGGAGAAGCAUGGGGCUGGUGCCCCUGCUGGUCUUCAAAACCAGUUGGUCUUCGCAAGGGGAUCGGUAGGUUCGAUUCCUAUCUUCUCCCG